AAACGUCCUGAAAAGAGUGAGG
rnacentral:miRNA from 1 species